rnacentral:rRNA from 1 species
UACGAAGGGGGCUAGCGUUGUUCGGAAUUACUGGGCGUAAAGGGCGCGCAGGCGGCCCUCCAAGUCAGGCGUGAAAGCCCCGGGCUCAACCCGGGAAUAGCGCUUGAGACUGGGGGGCUUGAGUUCGGGAGAGGAGAGUGGAAUUCCCAGUGUAGAGGUGAAAUUCGUAGAUAAUUGGGAAGGAACACCGGUGGCGAAGGCGGCUCUCUGGACCGACACUGACGCUGAGG